rnacentral:rRNA from 1 species
UACGUAGGUGACCAGCGUUGUCCGGAUUUACUGGGCGUAAAGAGCGCGCAGGCGGUCGUUCAAGUCGAGUGUGAAAGCCCCCGGCUCAACUGGGGAGGGUCACUCGAUACUGAUCGACUUGAAGGCAGGAGAGGGAUGCGGAAUUCCAGGUGUAGCGGUGAAAUGCGUAGAUAUCUGGAGGAACACCGGUGGCGAAGGCGGCAUCCUGGACCGGCAUUGACGCUGAGGAGCGAAAGCCAGGGGAGCAAACGGG